rnacentral:rRNA from 1 species
AGCUCCAAUAGCGUAUAUUAAAGUUGUUGCAGUUAAAAAGCUCGUAGUUGGAUUUCUGUGAGAGUGCCGGUGUCGGCUGAUGCUUGUACGCAGGCGCUCUUACAUCCUUCUGUUAACUGUUCUUGGCAUUUUAUUGCUGGUUCAGGGCUCAGAUAUUUUACCUUGAGAAAAUUAGAGUGUUUCAGGCAGGCUUAUGCCGGAAUACAUUAGCAUGGAAUAAUGGAACAGGACCUGUGCGUCUCUCGGGGCGCCGGUCUCCGUUGUUGGUUUCGGGGACUAAUGUAAUGAUUAAUAGGGAUAGUUGGGGGCAUUAGUAUUUAAUAGUCAGAGGUGAAAUUCUCGGAUUUGUUAAAGACUAACUUAUGCGAAAGCAUUUGCCAAGGAUGUUUUCA